rnacentral:rRNA from 1 species
UACGGGGGGGGGCAAGCGUUGUUCGGAAUUACUGGGCGUAAAGGGCUUGUAGGCGGCCAACUAAGUCCGACGUGAAAUCCCCAGGCUUAACCUGGGAACUGCGUCGGAUACUGGAUGGCUUGAGUUCGGGAGAGGGAUGCGGAAUUCCAGGUGUAGCGGUGAAAUGCGUAGAUAUCUGGAGGAACACCGGUGGCGAAGGCGGCAUCCUGGACCGACACUGACGCUGAGGAGCGAAAGCCAGGGGAGCAAACGGG